rnacentral:rRNA from 1 species
GAUGAACGCUGGCGGCGUGCCUAAUACAUGCGAGUCGAGCGAACAGACGAGGAGCUUGCUCCUCUGACGUUAGCGGCGGACGGGUGAGUAACACGUGGAUAACCUACCUAUAAGACUGGGAUAACUUCGGGAAACCGGAGCUAAUACCGGAUAAUAUAUUGAACCGCAUGGUUCAAUAGUGAAAGACGGUUUUGCUGUCACUUAUAGAUGGAUCCGCGCCGCAUUAGCUAGUUGGUAAGGUAACGGCUUACCAAGGCAACGAUGCGUAGCCGACCUGAGAGGGUGAUCGGCCACACUAGAACUGAGACACGGUCCAGACUCCUACGGGAGGCAGCAGUAGGGAAUCUUCCGCAAUGGGCGAAAGCCUGACGGAGCAACGCCGCGUGAGUGAUGAAGGUCUUCGGAUCGUAAAACUCUGUUAUUAGGGAAGAACAAAUGUGUAAGUAACUAUGCACGUCUUGACGGUACCUAAUCAGAAAGCCACGGCUAACUACGUG